CUCGUGAUGAAGUGAUUAAUUAGAAGAAACAGUGAAGGCCUGUUUCAGUGACCAUCCCUCCUCCCUUCCUCUCUCCUCCGCUCAGCUGUUCCUUCCUCGCUGCUCACCAGUCUACAGUUUCUAUUAUGUUGUAUAACGUGAUUGCGAAGUGACCUUAUUUCCUCUCCUGAAAAGUGCAAUAUAACCGCAUUUUUCCAUGGCGUCUGCAUUUAUAAGUUCCAUCGCUACCUUGCAGUACGUCCAGAGUAGCAAAUGAGUGAGGCUGAGGCACAUGCUGAACUUAGACGGACAAAAGGCAUUGAAUGGGAAAACCUGAGGGUAACGCACCUCGCGCCUGCCUCCCUCCCAUCUCCUGGCGCCCACACACCCGUGACGUGGACUUCGGCUGUGGCGAGACACUUCGCCCACCUCUGCAUUCCAUUCUCCGGUCCCCUGAGACCUGACACCAGCCUCGUCCAACCACGUGGUGCGAGAUCAACCCUCACACCCUUUGUCUCCGGACGCCAGCCCUGGCCAUGACCUGACCCUGCCAGCAGCUAUCCUUACAUCCCCAACUCCUUGUUUGCCUGGCCUCGGUAGCGGACAUGGGUAGUCCUCAUCCAUCCAGCCUCAGGGUUGGACCUGUGAAUCCUGGCAGCUUUGUAUCAGUCUUAACAAUUAUUAUUAUUUGUAUGUAUAUUCACCAUUUCAUACAUCCAUCACAUAUGCAAUAUGUUCAUACAUUCAUCCCACGUGUGCCCAUGGCCAGCCAGUCUAUUCUAUUUUUAACCUUCCCCCAAGGUUUAAACCUUACUCCUCCUUCUCAGUCUCUCAAAGGAAUUUCACACCCAUUUCCAGUUCUUAGGGAAAACACCUGCCUUCGCUCUGAGUCCUUCCUGCUGGUCAUUGGCCAAAAUAACGAGCUCUCCUAUUGACCCUUUCACCUCAUUUCCUGGCAUUUCAUUGGUCAUUUCUUUACCUCAAAACCUAAAACGUGAUCCACUUAGCUCACAUAAAUAUAGGCCGUAUGAUAGUCACACUCAGUCACUCAGUCAGUCCCUGUCCGAGAGUCAGUCGUGAGCAGUCAGUCUUGGUCUCUCACUCAGUUCCGUUCAGUCACAGACAGUCUUGAGAAACGCUGCUCAGUCAUCAUUUCAUAUCACUGCAGAGAGAGAGAGAACAAUCAAUCGUCACGUUAUAAUCUCGCUUCGUAUCAAGUGUGUACCUUCUCUCUCUUAUUAAAUCAAGAACUCUUA